rnacentral:lncRNA from 1 species
AUUGUGAAUGAAAAAAAGCCUAUCUCACAAAAAUACCAUUGAGCGCAUUUCCAAAAGAAACAUGAAUCUGAUGUAGCCAGACAUUCAGCUGGUGGUAGAGUGAGGCUGCAGAUGUUCAUUACCACGUGGUAGAACCUCAUCGUUGAAGGCUCUCAACAUUCUUGGGAGAAGUGUUCUCCAUAUACCAGCCAACACCAUGUGCCUGAGUCAUUUUGGUCAGCUUCACCAGAGAGCAAUACAGGAGACCAUGCAGCAUGCUGCUUCAACAUGUGGGUUCUGGGUCUGACUGCCUGGGUCCAAAUCCUAGAUCCUCUACUUUUUAGCUUUAUGACUUGGGGUAAUUAAUUUAACUUUUCCAAGGGUUUGGAAAAUCUCCAAGGGUAAAUGUAAGGAAUAAAUGUAGUAAUGACUGUAAACCACACAGCACCAUGCCUGGUAAAUAAUAAAUACUUAUUUAUGUUAUUUUUAAUAAGAAAUAUAUACUAAGAGUUUGGGGGUAUUUAAGAAGAGGAGAGCAUACAAACUAACAAAAGGAUGUAAACCCCAUUUCAUAGGCUGCAAUUCAGUUAGAGAAAAGGUACAUAUAUUCCCAUAUAUAGAAAUCACUAUAAGGCUGGUGUAGGCAGAAGAGCAGUUUUCAGCUCUUGAUUAAACUUUGGAAUUGUCUUAUUCAGGGACUUAAGAGGAUGAGAACAUUGGCCACCUCACAGAUAGACCUAAAUUGGAUUUGGAUUAGCCACGACUAAUGGUAGGGUAGGUCAAAUUUCUUAUUGUGUGGGGGUCAGGUUUUAGAAACUUCUUAAAGGGGGAAAGUCCCUUUAGAGGAAAUUUAUUUAAGACCAUGUUGAUUUGUGUGCUUUCUGUGAGCAAAUCAUCUUUAAUGUAUAGCGUGUCAGACUCUGUAAAAAUUUUUUUCUCCACAAUUAAGAUUACGUCUUCUAUAAGAGGAGGGACAAUCUCCCACUGGAAAUGGCUUUCAAUCCACUUACAAACUCCUUGAGGGCUGAGCCACUUCUUACCUUCCCUUUAUGUCUAAUUGCACCUAGGACAAUUUGAGUUGGAACUCAACAAAUUAUAAUGCAAUUGAACCAAAUAGGAUCAGAUAAUUGAAGAAUUUGGUUAUUGCUACUGUUGUUUUGAAGUUGCCUUAAUGAAGGCCAAAUAGGCUUGCAUGAUGGCCAUGAGCCUUCUGUCUUUCUUUGUCAAUCUUCAUGCUAGAGAUAGGAAUUCCUGAGCAAAGACAGCAACUGAUGAGAUUUUAAAAACACCUUCUGAUAACCCAAAACUGCCCAAGCUAAUCUUAGCUUCCCAUAGACUUAAUUCUGAGUCUUUGUCUUUUAUUCACCUGUAAAGGGCUUUUGAUUUAGAAAGGACUAUAUCAGAAUUGAGGUGUAUCAGAAUCUUUGGUGGCCGUAAGAAGUUUGCAAAAGUCCCCCAGUGAUUCCCCACCAUCUCUCCCAUCCACAACCCCUGAAACAGACCAGUUGGAAACAACUGCUCAGAAUAACAUACUUAAGUCUGAAAAUUGACUCACUGUCAGAGCCCUGCCAGUGUGUAAUGAGGAACAGUGAGAUCAUCUUUAGUUUUAUUGAGGAAACAACACAAUUCAAAAUCCUUAUUGUGCCCAAAACACUUACUGGAAAAAAAUUCUGAGGAUAAGGUAAAAGAAAGCACAAUGGAGGAUGCCAUGAACAAUGUUACAGAUUAGAAUUAAUGUCAUUUUACCUGUUAAACUGAGAUAUGUUCCAGAAAUGUUUGCGAUUAUGAGAUAGAGACAUGUACAUGUAGGCAGAACACAGGGAAGGGCAAGUGUUGGAUUUAAAAGCAAGAUCCAGAGAGUGUUCUUGGCUACCUAUUUCCUCCCCUCACCAUGAAAUCCCAGGAAGGGUCACUCUUCCUUUCAUGGAGAAUGUGAUUGACGCCCAAGAAUCCCCACUGGGACAGUGUCCUGGAGAAAGGAGCUCUUGAGGAAUGAAGGAAGGGGCUCCACCUACCUUCCCUCCUCAUCUGGCAGGAUGUUCACUUCCAUGACCUAAGCUGAUUUAGUUAAAACUUGGCCUGGAUGUGCUUUCUUCUAGGAAGGCUCUCACAUCGGGAGGGCAAAGCAGACCAGAGUGGUGACAGAGGAAAGGACACAUGGCAGUUGCUCAGUGGGGAUGUCAACUUAACGGAGAAGGUCAACAGAGGCCAUGGAGAUUUCCUCUCCAAGUAGGAAAGCAGACAGGAAGUCAGGCAGAAAUCAAAGCAGGACAAACAAGGAGCCUAAGACUGGUAUCCAUGAGCCCUCAGGGCUCUACACAUGGCUGAGCAAGAGCCAACCCACAAAGCCACACACAACAAGCGCUGCUGCUCAUGUCCUCAAGAAGCUUAAACCCAAGCUGUGGGUGAUGAGACAGGAAAAUGGCUUCAACAGAGGUGAGGGGACCCCAAGCCCCGCUUGGUUCCAGUGAGCACACGCCACUGGAGCCAAAGAAUACGAGUUGUGGGGGUAAUUUGGAUCUGAAGAGAAAGGAUAGAACUGAAACCUACAGCAAGAAGAAUGUCCAGUAAGUUCGUUGUUGGGGAAAGUGAGCGAGUUGGGGAAAGAAGAGGAGAAAAAACCAUCAACUGGGGCCAAAGGAUGAAAUUCAAGAAGCAGACAAGGACAGAGGUUCAAGAUGGAAGGGAAUCUGACACAAUCCUAACAGCUGCUAAUAUUGAUUGAGCACUUACUACGUAUUUAGGUCUCACAGCAAGGGUUGGCAAAUGUUUUCUGUAAAGAACCAGAUAGUCUUGUGGACCAUCUGGUCUCCAUCACAGCUACUCAGCUCUGUUUCUGUAGCACGAAAGCAGCCUCAGACAAUAAGAAAAUGAAUUGGCAUGGCUGGAUUUAGCCCGCAGGCCUUAGUUCCUCAGCUGCUGCUAGGAGAUGACUGGUAUGAUUAUCUCCACUGUUGGCAUGAAGACUGAGGCUGAGAAGGGUAGAGAGGGAGUGCCUGGUCUGGUUCUCCCUUGACUGGAACACCCGCAAAGGGCGAGCUUGAGUUCACCUGCAAGAGACCUGUGGAAUGCCAGGCAAGCUGUGCAACAAGACUCUGGGUAUAGGUACCUGCAGGCACCUGGCACCCUCGAGAUAGCUCUCACAUCACCACUAAAAAAGCCCAAACCAGGGAGUUCUCGUCGUGGUGCAGUGGUUAACGAAUCCGACUAGGAACCAUGAGGUUGCGGGUUCGGUCCCUGCCCUUGCUCAGUGGGUUAACGAUCCGGCGUUGUCGUGAGCUGUGGUGUAGGUUGCAGACGCGGCUCGGAUCCCGUGUUGCUGUGGCUCUGGCAUAGGCCAGUGGCUACAGCUCCGAUUCAACCCCUAGCCCGGGAACCUCCAUAUGCUGGAGGAGCGGCCCAA